rnacentral:misc_RNA from 1 species
GAAAUGCGAUAAGUAAUGUGAAUUGCAGAAUUCCGUGAAUCAUCGAAUCUUUGAACGCACAUUGCGCCCUCUGGUAUUCCGGGGGGCAUGCCUGUCCGAGCGUCAUUACGCACCCUCAAGCGCGGCUUGUGUGAUGGGCCCCGGCGUCUCGCGCGGCGAGACGGGCCCGAAAGGCAGCGGCGGCGUCGACCCGACGAGUCCGAACGUAUGGGGACCUCUUUGUCACACGUUCGCGGCGCGGACCGGCGCCCGCCCGACCUCAACCUCCUUUCUUCUUCCAGGUUGACCUCGGAUCAGGUAGGGAUACCCGCUGAACUUAA